rnacentral:tRNA from 1 species
GACGAGAUGGCCGAGCGGUUAAGGCGAUUGACUGUUAAUCCAUUGGGUUUUACCCGUGUGGGUUCGAAUCCCACCCUCGUCA